GUCGUAACAAGGUUUCCGUAGGUGAACCUGCGGAAGGAUCAUUACCACACCGAUCCACGAUCUUUCUUUUCUGAGAAAAUGGAGAGUGAUAUAUGUAUGGGAUGGAUGGAAUUUUAUGAUUUCAUCUGUUUUGUUUUGUAUCCUACUCUUCGAUUCUAUUGUGGGCUUCAAAAAUAUACUGGAAAACGGAUGUAGGCUUCUGUUUUCUACGUUUUACAACAUUCACUGGAACUGACGUUUAGGACCAUGAAACGUGAAAGAAGCGCAGUAUCAUGUAUUUGAUGAUGUGCUUCCUUAACAAGUUUAAAAAUUUGUACCAUGUACAACUUUCAGCAACGGAUGUCUAGGUUCCCA
rnacentral:misc_RNA from 1 species